UUUUAUUCCAGAAAUUUGGUCCUUAAGGGGUUAAACAAUUAAUCUGUCAGUAUUGUAUAAAUUGAAUUAUUUUGUAUAUGUAGUAGCAAGCUCUUUUCAGAACUGCUUGCAAAACAUAACUGAAAGGAAGUCACAAGCUAUGACAGUUUCUAUGUAUCAGGAAAUGCCUAACCACAAUGUAUAUGUGAUAUUUUGUAAGAUUAGAUUAUUGAAUGUAACAGCAGAAAC